AUGAAUUAUCAAUAAAUAUUAAGUAAAUAAUGUAAAUAUAUAAUAUAUGAAUUAUCUAUAUAAUAAUAAGUAAAUACACAACUUUUUUUAAAAAAUGGAAAAAGUUCAUUAAGCAUUAAACAUCUAUCUUAAAAUGUAAAAUAUAUAAUAUAAGUUAAUACACAAUUUGAAAAAAUGGAAAAAGUACAUUAAGAUUUAAAUAUCUAUUUUAAAAUAUAAAAUAUAGAUAUUACGUAAAAAAAUUUAAGAAAUGGAAAUAAACAUUUUAAAAAAUAGAAAAAGAACAUUAAGAUUUAAGCAUCUAUCUUAAAAUGUACAUCUAUCUUAAAAUGGUAGUAAAUUAUAUUAAAAUGGAAAUACCAUAUUAAACAAAAAAAAAUAAAAAUGUAUAGUUUUACAUCAAGAAAGUCCCUAUAAAACUCAUUAUAACAUCAACAUCAACCUCACACUAUGAUGGAUUGGUGAGUCUAACAUGAAGACAAAAAUAUAAAUAUUUGAUUUUCAAGAUAAGAAAUUCAGCUUUUAUUUAGUUACUCAAUAUAUAAUAUCUUAAAUUAUUUUUUUAAAAAUAUACAUAAUUUAUAUAUAUAGAUUAAUCUUCCAAACUUAAACUAUUAUAUUAUAUAUGAAUAAUGUUUUUAAAUAAAAAUAAUUUCUGAUUUAAAAAAAAAUAAAAACAACAAAUGGUUAUUUUCAAAUAAUGAAUGUAAUUUACAUUAUACUAUCAUUUAACAAGUAUUAGAUACGUUUUGAUAUAUCAUUAUUUUCUAUUUCCAGAAAACAAUAAAUUGUUAAACAUCAAUAUCAUCUAGGUUAAGUAUACGAACAUCACAAAUUCAAACAUCACAAAAAAUAUUUACAUAAACAAUAUUCAAAAGAAUAGUUAUAAACUUAAUAUUUGAAAAUCAAAGAUAUUUUUGCUAAAAUUGUACUUACAUGGCCAAGGAGAUCGACCAUCUUUUUACGGAUCAAUCGAUUAUUGAGCAUGUGGUCGAUCCAAAAAUAUUCUACAGUUUAAUUAAAUAUCUAAAACAUUUAUUCCAAC
rnacentral:lncRNA from 1 species